UACGGAGGGUGCAAGCGUUGUUCGGAAUUACUGGGCGUAAAGCGCGCGUAGGCGGUCAGGCAAGUCGGGUGUGAAAGCCCUGGGCUCAACCUGGGAAUUGCAUUCGAAACUAUCUGACUCGAGUAUGGGAGAGGGAAGCGGAAUUUCCGGUGUAGCGGUGAAAUGCAUAGAUAUCGGAAGGAACACCAGUGGCGAAGGCGGCUUCCUGGACUAAUACUGACGCUGAGGUGCGAAAGCGUGGGGAGCAAACAGG
rnacentral:rRNA from 1 species